GGCGAGUGAACGGGGAAAAGCCCAGCAUCGAAGCCUAUGGUUGUUUGACUGUAAGGCAAUGUGAUGUUAUGGAUCUUGCCUAGGGUCACUGGUCAACUCGAAGUCCAAUAUUGAAUGUGGCUUUUGUAUAUGGCCCAGAGCGGGUGAUAGGCCCGUGCGAGUUGACUGUUAGUAAUGUUGAGUGGCCUCUAGAUGCAAUAUGAUCUUUGGAGUCGGAUUGCUUGAGAAUGCAGUCCAAAGUUGGUGGUAAACUCCAUCAAAGGCUAAAUACUGGCACGAGUCCGAUAGCAAACAAGUACCGUGAGGGAAAGUUGAAAAGUACUCUGAAGAGAGAGUAAAUAGUACGUGAAACCACAUGAAGGUAAGCGGGUGGAGUCCAGCUGCUUGCUUUGAGGAUUUAGCCAGCCUGUGCAUAAUGGGUGUUGUGAACUGCCAUACUACGGUUCCGCUUUGAAAGGCGAGUUAAGCUUUGCUUAAUCCAUGUGCUACUACCCUGUAGGUGGUGUGGGCCUUGUAUGAUUUGGUGUGUGUGUUCGCAGGUUGGUGUCAUUCUUCAUGGCUAACAUCACAGUCAAUAUAGCUGCUAGUGUGUGAUGCGUCAAACCGACAAAUGGUGGGCCAUGAGGUUCACCUUUGUUGGGAUGGCAGGUGGUGUGUAUGGUUAUUCUUAACGAAUACUCAUACAUGCUUAAACAUGGCUAAGGCCAGCCGACCAUCAUGCUGUGAAAAAUUUGUUUACAUUUAAUCUAUGCAGUAUAUUGGUUAUAGUGUGUGCAAUUGCGCGAUAAGUUGUGGACGUUACCGGUGUUGCGCUAUGUUGUGUAUAUACGUGUAAAAGCGAGCCCAACAUAGUGCGCGUCGUGUGCGUAUGCAAUGAAGUCGUAC
rnacentral:rRNA from 1 species